GAUGAACGCUAGCUACAGGCUUAACACAUGCAAGUCGAGGGGAAACGACAUCGAAAGCUUGCUUUUGAUGGGCGUCGACCGGCGCACGGGUGAGUAACGCGUAUCCAACCUGCCCACCACUUGGGGAUAACCUUGCGAAAGUAAGACUAAUACCCAAUGAUAUCCCACGAAGACAUCUGAAUGGGAUUAAAGAUUUAUCGGUGAUGGAUGGGGAUGCGUCUGAUUAGCUUGUUGGCGGGGUAACGGCCCACCAAGGCAACGAUCAGUAGGGGUUCUGAGAGGAAGGUCCCCCUCAUUGGAACUGAGACACGGUCCAAACUCCUACGGGAGGCAGCAGUGAGGAAUAUUGGUCAAUGGGCGAGAGCCUGAACCAGCCAAGUAGCGUGCAGGAAGACGGCCCUAUGGGUUGUAAACUGCUUUUAUAAGGGAAUAAAGUGGGUCACGUGUGACUUUUUGCAUGUACCUUAUGAAUAAGGGCCGGCUAAUUCCGUG
rnacentral:rRNA from 1 species